rnacentral:lncRNA from 1 species
UGUGUGUGUGUUAGGGCAUAAUGGUAAUUGUGUAGGGGUUUGGGUUUGGGGGUGGGGUGGGGUGGGGGUGGGGGGGUGGGGGUGGGGUGAGCUCUAAGUCGGACUCUGAAAUGAGUCUGACCGACUUGUUGGCCACGCCUCUAGGCUAUAGAGUCUACACAACCAAAUUACCAUUUGCCCCUCAUGUUAGAACAUGACAGAAAAUAAACAUUAUGCAUUAAGAAAAUUUUUAAAAGAAAUGUGGUUCUCAAAGUUAUGAGAGGCAAUCAAGAUUUUGAAAUUGGAGGUUACCGAGAUGAAUAUCUUUAGAAAAUUGCAUUCAAUUAAAAUAUGGGACAACAUAUCAAAGGAAAUAUUUUAGUAAUUUUUUAAUAAAAUUUUUGAUUUUAUUUAUUUUUAUCUAUAUAAAAUUUAUGACAUCGUAGUCGAUAGCGGUUCGAUAAACGAUUGAUCCUAUAGUUAAACGGUAACCCGUACCCCGAAAAUUUUUUCGGUUCGCUCAACGAUCCGGAUUUCAAAACAUUGCUGUAGACAAUUGCCAAAUCAUUUGAUUACUUAUUAUACUUGGAUUAUGUGUGCAUAAAUACAGAGACAUUACUUCUAUAUACGCAACAAACUACUCUCUUACACUUGGUAGUCUUUAGCCACAGGGCAAAGAGCAUUUUUCUUAUGCAUUGUAAGACCAGGCGUCAGCAUCAACGUCUUCCUUCUUCAUCCUACGAGGGAGGUCCCAAUCAAAUGAGUAAAGAAGAUUGGCAAGUACAAGGUCCACUAUUGCAACUCUCAGAUUGAUUCCAGGAAACCCUCUUCUGCCAGCUCCGAAUGGAAUUAGCCCAAAGUCCUGUCCUCUGAAAUCAAUAUCGCUACCCAAGAAUCCUCAGGCAAGAACUCUUCGGGUUUUCCCAAAUUUCAGGGGUCUCUGCAAGUGGCCCAUGCAUUUAUAUUAAAAACUACGGUUUGGUGGCCGAAUCUCAUACUCAUCUAUAACGUCAACCUUUGAGUUGUUUUUUCCCUGGGCGCUAGAAGUGGAGCCGGUGGGUACAAUCUCAGUGUCUCUUUUAUCAUUGCCCUAAGAUAAGGCAGGCUUUGAAUGUAGUCUUUGUCUACCUAGCUUUCACCAACCGAAUUUCGUACCUCUUCUUGCACUUUCUUCAACACUGCCGGAUCUUUGAUUAGUGCCUUCAUUGCCCAAACUAUGGUGGCUGCAGCCAGUGUCUGUCCAGCGAUAAGUAUAAACCCCUGCACAGAAAAGGAAUAAGCAAGAAUCCAUAACACAGCCCGUUUUGGCUGCCGGAUAUGCCCCGAUAAUUUUUCUCCCCUCAUUUUUCCCUAUCGGGUGUUUGGCUGAAGAUAUUCUUCCCUGAUAACUUUUCCCCCUGCUUUUCCCUUUCCCCCAGCUCCCGGAUACACUUUUGGGGCAUCCCUCCCCCUCCCCCCAAAGUAUCCUGCGGUAUUAGAAUUUUCGGACUAUUUCACCCCUCCUUUACCCCUUCCAACAGCCAAAAAAACAACCAACAAAAUAUUUUAAAAAAUAAAAAAUAAAAAAUAAAUCGAGAGAGGCAUCUGGGUCUAUCCAUCGCCUGAAUCGAACCAUUUGGCCUCUGAAUCAAACCUCCGUGGCUUGAAUCGAACCAUUCGUCGCUUGAAUCGAAACCCUCCGGAGCUUGAAUCGACACUUUCGGCGCCUGAAUCGAAGCCUCCGGCCUCCGCAAGCUCCGCCUAGACCCCUUCUCUCCUCUCUUUGUUUCUGAACCGUCUCUGUCUCUGUUAAAAAACGUGAUUCGGAAGUUAGGGUUUGAAAUUUUAUAUAUAGGGUAAAUUUCACUUUGCCCCUUACUUUGAUACUAUUAUUUUUUAACCUCUUUAGUUUAAUUUUAACAUUUUUUAAAAAAUAAUCAUUUUUAGAUAAGGGAAAAAAAGGUCAUUUUAACACAUUUUUCUUCCUAUCCCCCAUCCUUAUCCACCCAUUCUAAAAAAUAUCCAAAACAAGAAAAUUUAUCCCCCCCUAAAAUUUAUCCCCCUCCCAGAUCCUACAGCCAACGAGCCUAAAAGGAUGUAUAAUAAAACAUAAAAACCUCGAUCUUGAUAGUGUGAUAAAUUUAUAGUUGCCAACAAUCUAAUUUAUUCAAAAACAGGUCAAGCCUAAUACAUUUACUAAAUGAAUAAAUUCCAUCUAGUCAAAUGUUUAGGCUCGGUACCCUGGCUUGGCUAGAUUAGACUCAUGAAUAUAAGGGAAUAAAACUUCAAUUACUCUUUUAAAGCUUGAUAUUGAGAUCAACGCGAGCUUAAGCCAAACUCAAACUAUGAAAAUACCCGUUUGCAAUCAUAAAAGAGUACCAUGAAUAAAGCUUUAAUGUGAUCCAUAGAAAGAUCAACUGAAGUUGAGGGUGUUGGUAAAAUUAUUCCACAAAUACAGAAUUUUUAAAUAAUAAUUUUAUUUAAAUAAAUAAAACUAAAAUUACAUACUUCAAUCGGUUGAGGAAAUAUUCAACUUGUUGAA